ACAGUGUUUUGGUAAGCCACAGUACAUGAAUAAUAUAAAACUAAGUUUUAAAAUCCUGAGUCAGUAUUGUAAAUACAAACUCUAGGCCCUAAAGCUAAAAUUUCAAGAGACAGUAUUCGUGUCAAUUAUUCAUUGCAAAAAUGCAUGUAUCUCUAAUGGGAAAACCAUUUCUAUCAUGAAGUACAGAAGAUCUUUGAGUUUCAGUUCUGUUUAUGCUAAUGUAAGUAUUUUUAACACUAUUAAGUUGGCAGGUUGGGUUGUUUUGGGACUCAUCUUGGACAGUUUCUUUCAAUGUGUUGAAUUUAGUUUAUAGGUAUACACUGUAAGGAAACAAACAUUCUUUUCUCCUAUAACCUUUAGAGUCAUUUCAAAGGCAUGGGUUGAAAUGUUUUGGUAGCAGACAUAGAGCCAUGGGCUCUGAUUUAAAAAUAAACCCAGUCAGUAAUGCUAAUAAAUGAUUGCUUGCAUUUGUUUCUAAUUGUUUCUACCAUAAAUAAUGUGUGGCAGCUUACUAUUAACACUGUGUGUGUGACGUAGGCAUUUUAUAAGUUGUAAAUACUGUAAGCAUGAACUAAUGUAUCUUCGCAUUAAUGCUUCUGGCAACAGAUUCUUUAGAAAUAAUCAAAUAUGGAAAUCCUGAAGUACUUGGACAUCAAGGAUGCCUUAGAAAGUGAGCCUUUUCCUGUGUCCCAUGGUAGAAAUGAGAGAAGGCCUGUAUUUGGCAUUGGCUGUGGGUAAAGUUUUUCUUAUUAUAAG
rnacentral:lncRNA from 1 species